CAGUAGCCACGGUAAUACGAAGGGGGCUAGCGUUGUUCGGAUUUACUGGGCGUAAAGGGCGCGUAGGCGGACUGAUAAGUCAGGGGUGAAAUCCCAAGGCUCAACCUUGGAACUGCCUUUGAUACUGUUUGUCUUGAGUUCGAGAGAGGUAAGUGGAACUGCGAGUGUAGAGGUGAAAUUCGUAGAUAUUCGCAAGAACACCAGUGGCGAAGGCGGCUUACUGGCUCGAAACUGACGCUGAGGCGCGAAAGCGUGGGGAGCAAACAGGAUUAGAUACCCGAGUAGUCCCUGUCUCUUAUAC
rnacentral:rRNA from 1 species